rnacentral:rRNA from 1 species
GCUGGGGGUCGUCGGGUAGGGGUGGGCUAGGGGAGGAAGGGGCGGGGGAGGUACUGGCGGCGGCGGGGGACCACGCCCGCGUGGAGGGCGGCGGCCGGUGGGGGUGGGACCUCGUGUGCUUGCGUCAGCCAACGGUGCGAUGGAGGGCGAGGUGGGAGGCGAUGCCGCCGGCGGACGACGGAAGAUAGAGGCGCGUGCGUGGCGGGAGGAGCGUACCUAGGUGGGGAACACGGUGGGCUAGGACCCAGGCCAGCGACGCGGCGGGAACCUAGGCCGGCGGCACGACGGGGGCGCUGGCCUAGGUCGGCGGCAGUUGUGUGCGACGGUGGAGGAUGACGACGGGCGGUAGUCAGCUGAAAGCUACGACCACUCGAUCUUCCACGUUCAUCCUUCGAUGGGCACGUAUUUGUUACCUCUAAAAAAACGUUUUUUUCCCCAACAGGCAAGAUCAGCUUCAUCUGGUUCGAUACCUUCUUGUCCCAGAGUGAACACACACGAAAAAUCAAGUAGAAGAUACCUACUAACAUGGCGACAACAACUAAACAACCACUGUACACUACAUAAACGAACUACAUUACGGACUCUUGUUUCAAGACGAUACGGACUCUUAUACACGUCAUGCACCGACCACAAAUACGUUUAAAAUCAGUUUUUUUCUUAAAAAACUACUAUACGUAGAUCAACAACAAGC